CUUGACUAGUGUCUCUGACUGCUUCUCUGCUAUUUCUAACUGCCCACUUCCUUAAACUCGACUUGACCAAAACUGAAAUUCUGGUCUUUCCUCCCUCAGGUGUUGCUACUCUUGUGUCUGUCUCCCCCCAAGUCAACGGUGCUACCAUCAGCUCCACCAUGCAGGCUCGCUGCCUAGGUGCUCUCUUUGACUCCGACCUCUCCUUCACACCUCAUGUUCAGUCUAUUGCCAAAUCCUGCCGCUUCCAUCUCAAAUCCAUUGCGC